AACCUCUCCGGUGGCCUAGUGGAUAGAGCGUCUGCCUUAGAUUCGGGAGGUCGUGGGUUCAACCCCCUGUCGAGUCA